UGCCAGCAGCCGCGGUAAUACGGAAGGUCCGGGCGUUAUCCGGAUUUAUUGGGUUUAAAGGGAGCGCAGGCGGGGAGGUAAGCGUGACGUGAAAUGUAGCCGCUCAACGGCUGAACUGCGUCGCGAACUGNCUCUCUUGAGUGAGUACGACGUCAGCGGAAUUUGUGGUGUAGCGGUGAAAUGCUUAGAUAUCACGAAGAACCCCGAUUGCGAAGGCAGCUGACGAGUCCUUUACUGACGCUAAAGCUCGAAGGUGCGGGUAUCGAACAGGAUUAGAUACCCUGGUAGUCCGCACGGUAAACGAUGGAUGCCCGCUGUUGGCGAUAUACUGUCAGCGGCCAAGCGAAAGCGUUAAGCAUCCCACCUGGGGAGUACGCCGGCAACGGUGA
rnacentral:rRNA from 1 species